UGUGAAGCUAAGAGCGUUAACCUUUUAAGUUAAAAUUAGAGAUUUUAAAUCUCCACAAUGAUAU
rnacentral:tRNA from 1 species